rnacentral:rRNA from 1 species
AGGGCCCCACCAGGAGUGGAGCCUGCGGCUUAAUUUGACUCAACACGGGAAAACCCACCCGGCCCGGACACUGGAAGGAUUGACAGAUUGAGAGCUCUUUCUUGAUUCAGUGGGUGGUGGUGCAUGGCCGUUCUUAGUUGGUGGAGUGAUUUGUCUGGUUAAUUCCGAUAACGAACGAGACUCUAGCCUACUAAAUAGAUAGUCGGCUUACAAACGUCGACUAGACUUCUUAGAGGGACAGGCGGUGAUUCAACCGCACGAAACAGAGCAAUAACAGGUCUGUGAUGCCCUUAGAUGUCCGGGGCCGCACGCGCGCUACACUGAAGUGAUCAGCGUGCUUUUUCAGCCUACUCUGUCAAGAGUGGGAAACCCAAUGAACCUUCUUCGUGAUUGGGAUAGGGGAUUGUAAUUAUUCCCCUUGAACGAGGAAUUCCCAGUAAGCGCGAGUCAUAAGCUCGCGUUGAUUACGUCCCUGCCCUUUGUACACACCGCCCGUCGCUACUACCGAUUGAAUGUUUU